GGAUUAGAUACCCGGGUAGUCCAUGCCGUAAACGUUGGGAACUAGAUGUAGGGGCCAUUCCACGGUUUCUGUGUCGCAGCUAACGCAUUAAGUUCCCCGCCUGGGGAGUACGGCCGCAAGGCUAAAACUCAAAGGAAUUGACGGGGGCCCGCACAAGCGGCGGAGCAUGCGGAUUAAUUCGAUGCAACGCGAAGAACCUUACCAAGGCUUGACAUAUACCGGUAAAGCGCAGAAAUGUGCUCCCCGUAAGGUCGGUAUACAGGUGGUGCAUGGUUGUCGUCAGCUCGUGUCGUGAGAUGUUGGGUUAAGUCCCGCAACGAGCGCAACCCUCGUUCUAUGUUGCCAGCACGUUAUGGUGGGAACUCAUAGGAGACUGCCGGGGUCAACUCGGAGG
rnacentral:rRNA from 1 species